rnacentral:rRNA from 1 species
UACGUAGGAGGCAAGCGUUGUCCGGAGUUACUGGGCGUAAAGAGCGCGCAGGCGGUCGUUCAAGUCGAGUGUGAAAGCCCCUGGCUCAACUGGGGAGGGUCAUUCGAUACUGAUCGACUCGAAGGCAGGAGAGGGUAGUGGAAUUCCCGGUGUAGUGGUGAAAUGCGUAGAUAUCGGGAGGAACACCAGUGGCGAAGGCGACUACCUGGCCUGUUCUUGACGCUGAGGCGCGAAAGCUAGGGGAGCAAACGGG